rnacentral:rRNA from 1 species
UGAGACAGUUCGGUCCCUAUCCGGCGUGGGCGUAGGAUAUUUGAGAGGAGCUGUCCUUAGUACGAGAGGACCGGGAUGGACCGACCGCUGGUGUACCGGCUGUACUGCCAAGUGCAUGGCCGGGUAGCCAAGUCGGGAAGGGAUAAACGCUGAAGGCAUCUAAGCGUGAAGCCCCCCUCAAGAUGAGAUAUCCCACGCGAAAGCGGUAAGACCCCUUGAAGACGACGAGGUAGAUAGGUCGGAGGUGGAAGUGCAGUAAUGCAUGGAGCUGACCGAUACUAAUAGGUCGAGGGCUUGACCAU